rnacentral:rRNA from 1 species
GAUGAACGCUAGCGGCAGGCUUAAUACAUGCAAGUCGAGGGGCAGCAGGACGGUAGCAAUACCGUUGCUGGCGACCGGCAAACGGGUGCGGAACACGUACGCAACUUACCCAUAACUGGGGGGAUAGCCCGGGGGAAAUCCCGGAUUAAUACCUCGUAACAUCACCGGGUGGCAUCACCUGGUGAUUAUAGCUCCGGCGGUUAUGGAUGGGCGUGCGCCUGAUUAGGUAGUUGGCAGGGUAACGGCCUACCAAGCCUACGAUUAGUAACUGGUGUGAGAGCACGACCAGUCACACGGGCACUGAGACACGGGCCCCGACUCCUACGGGAGGCAGCAGUAAGGAAUNUUGGUCAAUGGACGCAAGUCUGAACCAGCCAUGCCGCGUGAAGGAUGAAGGUCCUCUGGAUUGUAAACUUCUUUUUAUAUGGGACGAAACCCGGGCAUUCCUGCCCGAUUGACGGUACCAUAGGAAUAAGCACCGGCUAACUCCGUGCCAGCAGCCGCGGUAAUACGGAGGG